UUUUCUUUUUCCUUUUUAGUUUCAAAAUCAUUCCCUUUUUUUCAAACACCGACCCUUGGGUUUCUUAGCCUCCAGUGCACCGCCGCCGCAGCCAUGAAGACCGGUGGCCGACAACGGAGGAAAAGAGGUGAAAGACCUCGGCCUUAGAAUACCCCGAGGGCUGAACCCUUCAACCUUAAACAAGAAAAGAGGAAGAUUCUCAGCACCCUCUAGAUCCGGCGGUCGCAAAGGAGGAGAACCCUCCGUGAGCCGGAUCCCGGCGCUUCCUCGGUAAGUCCCCUCUCCCCUUUUUAUUUUCACGUUUUCUUUGUAAAAAUUUCGUAAAAAAAUGCGUAGAUAAAUAAAUGAAAUAAAUAAAUGAUAGAUGAUAAGAAACGGAAAUCAGAAAAACUAAAGAAAACAAUCAGAUUUCUAUCAACCUUUUAGAAUCUCAGUUCUGUAUUUCUUGAUUCACUGAUGUGUGUUCGUAAAAAAAAAAACAACGGUGAGAUUCGGGCUUUUAUAGCCGAUCAAAAUGAUUUUUUCUUCUUUAUUAUCUGUUAACUAUUAUUAUUUCUCGCGUGCUUCCUUUUUGCCAUUAUAAUUAAUUUUCGCAGGUGUCAGACGCGUGGACGACCGGUGGUAGGCGAGCCUUGGGCGGUGGCGGCGUGUGAGGAGCUGGAGCGGCGUACCUGGCAGAGGUGUGCAUGCGGCUAGGGCUAGGUUUUUUUUUGCUGAAACAAAUUUUAAUUUACUGGGCUUUGGGCUGUAAUUUUUGGGUUAUUUUCAUUUGUUUUGGGUCUUUAGGCCUAGGUCAAAAUUGACCUGUUACAAUGAUAUUUUUGUAAAUUUUUAUAUCACAUAAUUUUGGUAAUUUUUUUUAGCUUGACCCCAAACCCAUAAUCUAGAACCCUAAACUUUAAAUUCGAACCUUGAACCAAAAGAUCACGUUUAAGAUUCAAGAUUCGAGGUUCGAAGUUUAAGGUUUAUGGUUCAAAUUAAAAAAAUUACUAAAAUUAUAUAUCAAUGACAUAAAAA
rnacentral:lncRNA from 1 species